CCCUAGUCUAAGCAUAAAAACAUUCUCUCCCCUGGGGAAAUUCCUUCCUUCAUUUGCUGUAAAGUGUGUCAUUUGACUCCUGCUGAAAUGCAUGUUUUUGGAGUGGAAAAUUGGAAGCACAUGAUUUAUUCCCAAAGAAAACCUUUAAUUCAGCAGCCGAGAAAUUACUUUGCUACUGGUCCAAAGGGCUUACCAGUUACCAUCAGGAUGCUGUUAGAGCCCUCAGAAAUGGUGUGCAGCAUUCCAAGGCAAGGGGGCCUUUGAAGGAUUUCCCUGAAGAACUGCUUCUGCUCGGUUGUGCUUGGCCACUGCAGCCUGAGAGGAAUGAACACUGUCUAGCAAACAGGCCCUAUUAGCACAACAGAUCAUAGAUGGAUUUGGAAUGGAAAGACCUUAUAAGCUUAGCUUGGAAGGCAUACCAGAGAUCCAAUGGUGGACAAUUCUCCAUAUCUGCAAUAUUGGAACCAGUUGAGAAGUGAACUCAGAAUAAUGACCUGCUUGACCCUGUCCAACAGUCUUUUGAUCCAGCAGCUAAAAUAAAGUGUCCUAUAAUAAAGGGGGCAACUCAUCCGUCAGUGAUGCUGCCCCCAGGAGUGAGCCUGGUGGGAAGAAUUUUUUAUGCUUUUCACUUCAAGCUUGAAUCCACUCUCCCCACUGGCUAAGUAAGGUGUUUCUGUAUUUUGGUAUGGGGGACAAAAGAACUUUGAGUACUUUUGAGUAGAGCUGAGUGGAAUGUUUUUGAAUUUGUGUUCUUGUAUUUCUUUUCCUGAAAUACUCCCUUAUUAAAGCUGAUUUAUAUUGAUUGGUUAUCAAUUAAAUUGAAGAGAUAUCAAUCGAUCAAUAUGAUAGUGGGGCACUGAUCACUGGAUAGAUGAUACUAAAGAGAAGUAGCUAGUUGAUUAUUUUUGGGCAAAACACAAUAGAUGGGGCUAAUGAACUAUAGUAUUAGAAGAACCCCAACCCUUUAGAGUUACCUCCUAAAACUCUGAGGGAAGGUGGAGAGUAAGCUUGUUUGAAUGACCCAAACUGCUAAAUCACGUAAGGGUUGGGAGAGUAGUUCUAGAGUCUUUAGGUAGUACAUAUAUAUUAUCUCAUUUGAUCCUUGCUACAGUCAUGCCAGAUGGAUGCUCUUGUUAUCAUUCCCAUUUUACAGUGGAGAUGAGGCUUAGAAAAGUCUGGGGGCAGAGUUUGAAUCCUGGUCGUCCUUUCUCCAGCUCCAGUGUUCUGUUUAGAGUGAAUCCUGUGGGGCAAAUGGCGCAGGGGACCUACAGCUGAGAAUUCAGGCGCAUCCUUCCUGAGUCUGCCUCCAAUCCUGCGAGGAAAGCCAGGAGCAAUGGGCCAAGUCCCUUAGGAUGCAACAUCAACAGGGUUAGAGGUGGUCCUCGGUUUUACUGGGAAGCCCCAGGGAACACUGCCAGGUUGGCAGCCUGGGUGAUGGAAGUCCAUUGCCAACCAAAUGAGCAGAGCUCAGGAAAACUGUUGUAGCAACUGCCCCAGCAUCAGUUCACAAAGCUACCUCAGCCCCUUUUCUGUUCCCUCCUCUAUCUCCAGCCAGCAACUGCCAGACGAGGGACUCCUAGCAACUAGAAGCUAAACAGAUGAUGCUUAGUCUCUUCAUGCUGGCUUCUCCAAGAGAACCUGGGAAGAAGAACCACUCAGCCGUAUCCUUGGUACUCUAGUAUUGCAUCUUGGGCAGUAGAGGGCAACAUUAGGUCAUAUAGAUGUAAAGUCACCCAAGCUACCCAGAAGGAAGGAGGAAGUAGGUUGAGGAAAGGGCUCCUGUGGUGGUCAUAAUGAGGACAUGACACAUCUCCAGUCUCCAGACCUUGUGACAUACGCAGCAUAAUAUUUACACCAGUAACCUAGACUCGUACCCAGAAAGCUACAGCAGGCAAGGAGAGAUGUUUAGGAGCCGACUGGUGAAACCAGAAACAAUUAUUGGCAUUUCAGCAAAACAAAGCAGCAACAGAAGCAGCAAAAGAAACAACUGGCUGAGAAAUAAAUUGCAUAGCCCUAAAUCUCUGGCUUUUGUUUUUGAGUUCAGUCUCCAAGUUAAUUCAGAACAAAAGACAGUUACUUAAAUCUAGAUAUUUUAUCUUAAUGUGGGCAAUUCCCAUAAUAUCACACAUUAAGAUGUCUGAUUUGAGCUGCCACCAAACAGGCGGUGAUAAUGUCAUUUAAGAUCUGUUUUAUCACUGCGCACACAUGUGUUCAAUUCUGUUUGUGGCACAUGAGAGCCUGUCAUUAAACUGAUGAGUCUCAGAGUUGAAGCUCAGAAAUGAAGCAGCCAGACCCUGACCCUUCCAUAAGAGAAGGGGCAGUGGUGGGGGAGCUCCAGGGGAGUAGAGUUUGCUACUCACACAAACAACACAUGUAGCCAUUAUGUGUCACCAGCAACGGGAGGAGGAACAAAUGGCCCACUGCAUUUCAAAAGCCCCAAAGAGGCUGACCAGGGGCUUUGUGUAGAAACCAGUCAACUGUUAUUAGGAAGGUAAAUUGCAAGGAUGGCAGUUUUCAGCUCUCUUCAGCCCUCUCCCCCUCGUUAUCACAGCCAAAUUAGCGAUGUGCGGUGUGGCUGUUUGUUUGCGAUAGAUUCUGCUGCCGUGGCACUGCUGUCCACCAAGAGAUGCUGGGAAGCUGCCAAGUGAUUAAGCUAUUGUGGUUAGUCUGUUCCUAGAACGGAUUUCUUCUGGAAUAUUAAAAGUUUUACAGCCUAAAGUGUUGCACUUUGACUCCUGGUAAUUAAUACUGAUUUUGCCGUAAUAUCUUAUUUUUUAUGGGCAUUAUCUUGUUUUUCAUGAGCUGCAAAAAAUAUCACUGUAGCUUAUGAAAUAAACUAUAAUAUCUUGCUUUGCACAAUCUUAUUUGUGUCAUUAUCUGGCCCCUGGAGCAGCUAAUUUAGCCCAUACGAUACAGAACAAUAUUUAUUUUCCCAGUGAUUACUGGAGUGAUGCCAUUUCCACAGACUUGCCCAUGUGAGCUGAUAUACCUCUACCCACAGAGGUACUACAAUCAGACUUCAGCCACGAAGGACAAAAUGGACAGAUCCAAUGAUAUGGUGCCAGAGGUCAAAGGAGAGCAAGUGGACUUUUCAUAUGCUCCCAAGCAAAGAUUUUUACAAGUGAUAAUGUCAGGAUAUCCAGCCAAGGAGAGCUGGGUAUAGAGCCAGAGAUGAGACAGACAUUGCCAAAGAUGGACAGAUGAAUCAGGAGUGGAUGAAACCAUUCAAAUCAAAUCAAGCAGCUAUUGUGUGCAGGGCACUGGGAGAGAUACCAAAUAAAGUACAGGUCAUGAUCCUUGCCCUCAAGGAACUUACAAUGUGCUUGAGAAGCCAUGGAAGAAAAUAUCACCAUUGGUAAAAUCCUCCUGGAAAGUGAAAAUGUUCAAAAAUAUAAGGAUCUGUGCUUUAUUGUAAUAAUCUCACAGAUCAACAAAAAGAAUUCCUUAAAAAGAAGCAUCAGCCUUACUCAUAUUCCGUAGCUAACUUUCCUCUAAUUUUUUGUGACCCCCAUUUGGGGUUUUCUUGGCAAAGCUUACUGGAGUGGUUUGCCAUUUCCUUCUCCAGCUCAUUUUAUCAAUGAGGAACCUGAGGCAAAGAAGAUUAAAUGAUUUGCCCAGGGUUGCCCAGCCAGUAAGUGUCUAAGGCCAGAUUUGAACUCAUGAAGAUGAGUCUUCCUGACUCCAGACCAGCACCCUUGCCUCCCAUCUAGGUGACAUAAUGGAUAGAGCUCCAGGUCUGAAAAAUGACUCACAACUUUCCUCUACUCAGCAAAUUCUCAUUUUCUUGGAGUUUGCAACCUACCUGCAUCAGCAAAACCUUUAAAAUAGGCAUACUAAGUAGAGCCAAAAUGUUGGAAAAGCAGGAAGCAGUAUAGUCAAACCCAGCCCUACUCCCAACUCCUCUAAAUUGAUUGAGAAAAUGUACCAGACCUAAUUCUUACUGGGAAAUGUAAGAAAAGUCAGUGAGUCAUUUUUCCAGCCUAGGAUUAUUGGACUGGAAAAAUGUCUCCCCUGUGGGAGAUAGCCAGUGGAUACUACGUAUAAAGUCUAGCCAAGAGUGACCAUAGGGGCAGAGCAUUCCAAUGGAAAGAAGAAGUUGUACAUGAGGGUGAGAGUAGGUUCUAGAACCAUAUGGGACAUUUUAACAAGAACAAGUGACAACUAUGAGUUUUGUCACCCACUAACCAUUUUUUAGUUACAGAAUCAGGGUGGCCUGAGAAAUAUACCUGUGCUAGAGGUUGAAUUCCAGGAAAAAAAGAGAGGUGAAAAAGAAUUUAAACUUAAAAAAAAAAGAGCAAUGACAGGCCCUAGGCAUUAUACCAAGGAGGAAUAAAUAAAUUGAGACACCAGCAGCAGCAAAGUGGCCUGGUUACCAAGAGCAGAACAGGGUUUUAGUUCCAGCUUCUUGCCCAGUCUGGAACCUAUAGAGGAAAAAACAGAACAGAAAUUCCAGAACAAAGGGAGACUACAAUUCUAACACUAUAAGUGAGUAGAGUUGCCAGGCACCUAUUAAGUGUUGAGUUAGGUAGCAGUCUACUGUUGCUCAGAUCCAGGUCAAUAAUCUCCACAACUCAGACCAGAGGUACAGUGAUUAGACUUUGCACUGGAUUUGAAAACUUUGGGAGCACUGAAAGGUUGUAUGUCCCUGGCCUCGGCUUUCCUUGAGAUCCUGGAAUAACAUAACACUUAACACCCUAAGAAAGCAGCAAUGAUCCAACUGAGACCUACACUCCAGAAGUUUUCAGAGAGCCCAGUGUCUGGAUAUCAAUCCAAAGUCAGGAAGUAGGCUACAAACAAAAUCAAACAAACAAAAAUUCUCACCAUUAAAAGUUGUUUUGGUGACAUCGAUGUUUAAGAGACAAACCCAGAAGAAGAGAAUGACUCCAAAACUUUUACAAGCAAAAUCUCUUGGAUAUAAAUUCAGCUAUAAUUCCUAGAAGUGAUAAAGUAAGAGUUUUUAGAAAUUAAAAUUGUUUUUAUAAAUUAAAUGAGAGUGCUAGAGGAAAAAAUUGGAAAAGUAAUGAGAGACAUCAAAGAAAGAAUUGAAAAAGGAAUUAACAGCUUGGUACAAUUAAAUACAAAACCUUGCUCAGGCAAUGAAUUCCCUGAAAACUAGAAUGGACUCUAAAGAAUCCAAUGACUCCUUGAGACAAGGAAAUAUAAAAAUAAAGUCAUAAAACUGAAAGAAAAAAUAGAGAAAAAAAAGCUAAAAUAUCUCAUAGCAAAAACAACUGACCUGGAAAACAGAUUGAAGAGAAUCAUUUAAGAAUCAUUGGUCUACCUGAACACCAUGACCAAAAGCAAAGCCUAAAUGUCAGAUUUUAAGAAAUCUUAAAAGAAAACUGUCCAUAUCUCUUAGAACCAGAGGGCAAAGUGGAAAUAGAAAGAAUCCAUCUAUCACUUCCUGAAAGAAGCCUCAAAAGAAAACUCCCAGGAACAGUAUAACCAAAAUUCAGAGCUUCUGGGUUAAAAAAAACAAACAAAAAAACUCUGUAAGCAGCCAGGAAGAAAGAACUUUAGUACCAAGGAUCAAAAGUCAGGAUCACACUAUGAUAAAGGGUUUGUAGUACUUAAAAUAUUAUAUUUCAGGAGACAAAGGAUAUAGGUUUACAGCCAAGAAUAAUUAACUGCAAAACUGAGUAUAAUCCUACA